GACGAACGCUGGCGGCGUGCUUAACACAUGCAAGUCGAACGGAAAGGCCCUGCUUUUGUGGGGUGCUCGAGUGGCGAACGGGUGAGUAACACGUGAGUAACCUGCCCUUGACUUUGGGAUAACUUCACGAAACUGGGGCUAAUACCGGAUAGGAGCUCCUGCUCCAUGGGGGUGGAUGGAAAAUUUCGGCGGUUGGGGAUGGACUCGCGGCUUAUCAGCUUGUUGGUGGGGUAGGGGCUUACCAAGGCUUUGACGGGUAGCCGGCCUGAGAGGGGGACCGGCCACAUGGGGACUGAGAUACGGCCCAGACUGCUACGGGAGGCAGCAGUGGGGAAUAUUGCACAAUGGGCGGAAGCCUGAUGCAGCAACGCCGCGUGCGGGAUGACGGCCUUCGGGUGGUGAACCGCUUUCGCCUGUGACGAAGCGUGAGUGACGGUAAUGGGUAAAGAAGCACCGGCUAACUACGUG
rnacentral:rRNA from 1 species